rnacentral:piRNA from 1 species
CAGUCAGUUACAGAUUGAACUCCUG